rnacentral:rRNA from 1 species
CCCUUAGAUGUUCUGGGCCGCACGCGCGCUACACUGAUGCGUUCAACGAGUCUAAAACCUGCUCUGAUAGGGGUGGGUAAUCUUUUGAAUGUGCAUCGUGAUUGGGAUAGAUGAUUGCAAUUUUUCAUCUUCAACGAGGAAUGCCUAGUAAACGCAAGUCAUCAGCUUGCAUUGAUUACGUCCCUGCCCUUUGUACACACCGCCCGUCGCUCCUACCGAUUGAAUGAUCCGAUGAAUAUCAUGGAUUGAGGAUGCAAGUAGGUUAGCCUAUCUUCAUCUUCGAGAAGUGAAGUAAAUCUUAUCAUUUAGAGGAAGGAGAAGUCGUAACA